rnacentral:rRNA from 1 species
UUAUGCUGCUAUUACUCGUGCCGUGAGGUGUUAGGUUAAGUCCUGCAACGAGCGCAACCCCUGUCACUAGUUGCCAUCAUUAAGUUGGGGACUCUAGUGAGACUGCCUACGCAAGUAGAGAGGAAGGUGGGGAUGACGUCAAAUCAUCACGGCCCUUACGCCUUGGGCCACACACGUAAUACAAUGGCCGGUACAGAGGGCAGCUACACAGCGAUGUGAUGCAAAUCUCGAAAGCCGGUCUCAGUUCGGAUUGGAGUCUGCAACUCGACUCUAUGAAGCUGGAAUCGCUAGUAAUCGCGCAUCAGCCAUGGCGCGGUGAAUACGUUCCCGGGCCUUGUACACACCGCCCGUCAAGCCAUGGAAGUCUGGGGUACCUGAAGUCGGUGACCGUAACAGGAGCUUCCUAU